rnacentral:rRNA from 1 species
AUGAACGCUGGCGGCGUGCCUAAUCCCUGCAAGUCGAGCGAACAGACGAGGAGCUUGCUCCUCUGACGUUAGCGGCGGACGGGCGAGUAACACGUGGAUAACCUACCUAUAAGACUGGGAUAACUUCGGGAAACCGGAGCUAAUACCGGAUAAUAUAUUGAACCGCAUGGUUCAAUAGUGAAAGACGGUUUUGCUGUCACUUAUAGAUGGAUCCGCGCCGCAUUAGCUAGUUGGUAAGGUAACGGCUUACCAAGGCAACGAUGCGUAGCCGACCUGAGAGGGUGAUCGGCCACACUGGAACUGAGACACGGUCCAGACUCCUACGGGAGGCAGCAGUAGGGAAUCUUCCGCAAUGGGCGAAAGCCUGACGGAGCAACGCCGCGUGAGUGAUGAAGGUCUUCGGAUCGUAAAACUCUGUUAUUAGGGAAGAACAAAUGUGUAAGUAACUAUGCACGUCUUGACGGUACCUAAUCAGAAAGCCACGGCUAACUACGUG